rnacentral:rRNA from 1 species
UACGUAGGGUGCAAGCGUUAAUCGGAAUUACUGGGCGUAAAGCGUGCGCAGGCGGUUUUGUAAGUUUGUCGUGAAAGCCCCGGGCUCAACCUGGGAAUUGCGAUGAAGACUGCAAGGCUUGAAUCUGGCAGAGGGGGGUAGAAUUCCACGGUGUAGCAGUGAAAUGCGUAGAGAUGAUGGAGGACACCGAUGGCGAAGGACAGCCCCCUGGGUCAAGAUUGGACG